rnacentral:rRNA from 1 species
UACAGAGGUCUUAAGCGUUGUUCGGAUUCAUUGGGCGUAAAGGGUGCGUAGGCGGCGCGGUAAGUCGGGUGUGAAAUCUCGGGGCUUAACUCCGAAACUGCAUUCGAUACUGCCGUGCUUGAGGACUGGAGAGGAGACUGGAAUUUACGGUGUAGCGGUGAAAUGCGUAGAUAUCGUAAGGAAGACCAGUGGCGAAGGCGGGUCUCUGGACAGUUCCUGACGCUGAGGCACGAAGGUCAGGGGAGCAAACGGG